AGCUGCUCCACACCUCAGCAUAUGCUCUGCCUCACUUGCUUCCUCACUGUUAAAAUGACAACGGACGCCGUCUUCGGUGCUUCCAACACCCUCGGUUCCCUCUCGCGGCCCGGCCUUCCUACGCUGCUACGUUGUGCAUUACCCACAACAGCAAAAAUGUUCCACUGGUGGUUUCAAGAUUCCUAAAAAAAUAGAUUCAAAACAUCUUUAAUACUCUCUGAAGAAGCAAUACAUCACAGGAAAAGCUGUAACCUUUCCUGUUGCUGAUACUAUCCAGACUGCGGGCUGAUGAGGACGGUAACUGCAGCCAAUUCGUAUUCUGCGUGGCUGCCGCUGGAGGUGCACAGGAGCUGGUCCACCCACCCUCCACACUCCCAACCAAGGAAGCUGCUGAAUUUCUGAGUGUUUGCCUAAUGCCCUUUUAUAUAACCUGAAAAGAGUCACAGUACUUGAAGGCAGUAUUUUCCAAGAAACAGCCUUCCCCUAUUAACGCAACAUCCCUGAAAAUAAUACUGCUGUUUCUACGGCAGUGACAGGCCCUGCAUGGAACGCAUUUUUCCUUCCUUUUUUCCCCAUCACAGAGCCACGGGCAAGAAGCUGCGGCGGCAGAGCCUCGUCAAAGCCAGCUGGACAGAGGGAUGGCUACUUGCAUUGUUAAGUAGGAGCGCUUCACAGUGACCAUGGGCCAGCCUGGAACUGCCUUCCCCCAGGACGGGGGGACAGGCGUGAGUGGGUGUGAAGCACAGGGAAGCUUCUCUGCCUGGUGAUCCCAAGAGGGCCUGCAACAGGUGCCCUGCCUGGCUGAAGGAGGAGGCUGCCGGGAAAUCAGACUCGGAUUUGCCAGCUUACAACUCAAACCGGGCUGGGCAAACACGCUGCGAUACGGCGGUCACGGCUGUAAUUCAGAGAGAAUGCUCAGAAAUGGGAAACAAAAACACAAGGCAGGAUGCCCCUUUGUGCUGGAAGUCAGAAUCUCCAUGUGUUCUUCUCGCUGCCCGCCGAGGUCUGAGCGGGGCCCUGCUGUGAAUGACCCCGGGAACGGUGCCAGAGUCACACAGACUUGGUGCAGACAACAGAGCUACCUUUCAGGGGCUCUGUGUCCUUGGACAGGUCACUAGACUUCUCUGAACCCGUUCGCUCAUUUCCAGAAAGGGAUAAGAUCUCUCUUACAGUUCAUGGGGUGCGCAAGAAUGAUGGGUGCCAAGCCCAUGACCCCAGGUUCUGGCAAGGAAUCGGCCUCUCCAAAAAUGAUGGUUUUUAUUAUUCUCACUAUUCUAGAAAAUGUCUUUGUGAAUUGUUUGCUUGAUUGAAACGGUUUCUUUUUAAUAAAAUCUUGAUUUUAAAAAGCCCGAAGUCACCUCUGUUUUCUUUAUUCAGCAGAAUAGGAUGCGGGGCGAGGACAACAUUUAGAGACUUGGUAAAUGUUUUUUUCUUUAACUUACAUUGCCGUGUGUGUGCGUGUUUCUCCUUUCAUCUUUCCCUGGCUCCCCCAAUUUAAGAAAGGUUAGUUUAGGUAAAAUGAGCAUUACAAGGCUCCCACAACCUCCGCAGCCUUUCUGUCACAGGAUUAAAGAGAAGAAUGAACCCCAGGCUGAGUAUGAACUUUUUGUAGGGCUCAAGAGAACAGAACCCCAGGCUGAGGAGGGAGAGGCAGACUUGGAGUGUGGGAGGACAGGGUAAGGGGUGUAACCUCAUGGUCAGGCUGCUACUAGGGGAGCAUGGCAGAAGCAGACCUGGCUCAGUGGCCAAUAGCAGAGAGGUCCACCCUCCAGGCCAGGACCCAUAGGUCCAGUGAGGUCUUCCUUGCUGAGAGCUCCAAGGGGACUGACCCUUGGGUCCCUUAGGAGGAGGGAUCAAGGCCACCAGAACUGGAAGCCCAGAGGCCACAGUGAGCCUGAUUCCCAAAAGAGAAGCAGAGGGGGUCUGGGGAGGGAAUAUCUGCCAUCUUUCAUCUGACAGGGGACAGACAUAGGCACUGGCUGUGCUGAUGAGAAAGGAACAGCGACGCUGACGUGCAGGAAGGCUGGCGCAGCUGAACAAGGUCAUGGUCACUUCACUCUAAUCUGACAUCCUCAGCACGGUCUGUGUCCACGCAGUGACCCUAACAGGUGCAUAACCAUCAGGCUGCAAAUGAGGGGUCUGGGGAUGUGAAGCCCCCUAGACUGGAAUAAUGGGAUUUCUCAGAGGGCCCCAGGAGCUGGGGUGGGCAGCCCAUGGAAAGUGCAACUUCAGCAACUUCCCUCCGCCCAGAGCACCAGUGCAGGUGCUCCGGCCCGGCUCGCAGGUCCACCGUGAGAGGCAGUGCGGCUCACACAGAGCCCGGGGACGUCCUCCCUGGCCACCGCACCCCUUUCUACAGGCUGACUCAGAGCUCCCUGCAGCAGAGACACACAUGAGAUGCUCCGAGUGUCCUGACUUGUUCUCUGGCCCCAGAGAUACGACUCAGGGUGUCUCAGGAUCCCAGGUUGGAUGGUCCCAGGGUGGCUGGGGAGGCAGCAACCUCCUCUGGAAGUGGGGUCCCUGGCAGCACCCGGUUCAGUGAAAAUGGACGUGAGAGUGAGGCUCUAGGAGGAGGUUGCAUUUACACAAGAGCAGAAGUCGAGGCAGCAGUUUUCUCAUCUGCAAAAUGCUAAUAACAAAGCCUGCCCCCGGGCUUGUGAGGAUAAGCCGAAGCCCAGGAGAAGGCCUGGCUCAUCGCAGACCCACAGUGCGUGCUCCCCAGGCACCAGGUUCAGUGUCUUUCCUGAAAGGGCAACUGGAUAGGACGUGGAAGAAGCGCCGAGCUGUGAAAGGAAGCGCAGGUUCUAGGGAGAGGGCUAAGCAGACAGGGAGAGAAGGACCUGAUGGCUGGAACGGGCUUUGGAGGAGUCUUGUUUUGCUGGAGGCGGAGCUGACCUGGGGCUGCAGGGAGCAGCACACUCCAUUCCCAUCAUCAAUGCCCAGGGCCCAGGGCGCCCCUCUCUUGGGGGCUUACAGCCCACAUCUUCCCACCACCGGAUGGCUUUGCGGUCCCUGCUGUUUCCUGAACACACCAGCCCACCCUGCCUCAGCCUGGAGCCUGCAAUGUUCCUCCCUCAGCGAUCAGCGACCCGAGUGACCUCCUUUCUUACCUCCUUGGGUCUCUGCUCAAAGGCAACCACAGAGAGCUCUUUCCGAACCCUACUAUUUCAAAUCUCACAGCUAACACUCCUUAUUCAUUUUUCUCCAUUGCACUUAUCAAUAUUAUGUGUGUGAUUCUGAAGAACGCAUAUUCCCUAGAUUUUAUGUACAAUAUUCUCUAAGCCGUUGUCAUGUUUACUAAUUGUGUUUGCAAAUCUUCUAUACCUUUAUUAUUAUUAUUUUUGUCUGUUUGUUUUGUUGUUUAGAGAAUGUGUUAAAUAUUUCCUACUGUGACUGUGAAUUCAUUUUUUCCCUUCUAGUUCUGUCAAUUUUUGCCUUUUAUAUUUUGAGGCUAUGUUCUAUGUUCUGUGAACCCUUUGGGUAUCUGAGACAGGUCUCAUUUUAGGAAAUUUAUUUUGCCAAAGUUAAGGACGCAUGCCAGUGACACGGCCUCAGGAGGUCCUGAUGACAUGUGUCCAGGGUGGUCAGGGCACAGGUUGGUUUUAUACAUUUUAGGGAGACAUGAGACAUCAAUCAAUAUAUGUAAGAUGUACAUUGGUUCUGCCUGGAAAGGGGUGGGACAACUCAAAGCAGGAAGGGGGUUUCCAAGUCAUAGGUAGGUAAGCGACAAAUGGGUGCAUUGUUUUGAGUUUCUGAUUAGCCUUUCCAAAGGAGGCCGUCAGAUACGCAUCUAUCUCAGUGAGCAGAGUGGUGACUUUCAGUUCUAUCUGUCCUUUGUCCACAAGGAAAUUCCUUGUGAGGGAGGGGCGAGUGAGGUCCAGAAUGGAAGGUGAUCUGGGCCCAGUUUCUGUAGUGAAUUGAGACACAGUUAGGACCCAGGCUUUCUGCAUAGCAUUUCAGGGCACCCGCCCCACCACACAGGGCUAUUUCUUGUCCCAGGACCAAGCCUUGCAAAGGACAAGUCUGGAGUGAUGGCAAGAGGCAAUCUGCUGAUCAUGACUGAUGAAACUGAAAAUUUCAGAGUCAGAAGCCACAUAAGUCCCACAGUGAAAAUGCAGACAGAGGGCCUAUGGGGAAGUGCGGAACUGAGGAGAGAUGACCACGUCUUUAAACUAGCCAUUCCCUGCAGCUCAUUCCGGACCAAGCCUCUUAAAGCACCAAUUUAUGAACUUCAUUCCAGGAAAAGAUGAAGAAAAUGUCCAUGAAACUUCUCAAAGAGCAGCAGAUUCUCCAUAAAAGCUCACUCAGAUAGUGACAAGAUAGGGAGCUGGGAAAUCAAUUGGUUCUCCAAAGCACACCAGAACGAAUACAGCAAGGUGCAAUUCAGUACCGAGAGGCCAGCAAGAGUUGAGUUUGGAGCUGAGGCCUGGCCAUGGGCCCAACAGACCCAGCAGCAGUAUCGCCCCAUCCCACCCCAAGACAGUCCCUGACUACUAGCAUCCAGUUGAAAGGCUUUAUUUCCAAGUGUUGGGAGGAAGGGCUUUGUGGGGUGGGGGAGAUGGCCAGCCAGGGAUGAGGACUCUCCACUGCUUCUGAUACCAUGUGAUCCCUGAGGGACUGUCAGGGGUAUGUGUCACAAAAGCAACUCAUCUGCUCUGCCUACCCUCCCUACCUGAGUAAUGGACCUCCCGUACCCCCAUGUCACUGAAGACAGUAGUGUGGACCAUGGGCUCUGGAAAGAAGUGGGGGGUCAGGGGUGGGUUCACAUCCAAACAGGAGUCUGAUUCCCAUUUGCUACUUAGAUUAGUGUAGUCUUGCACCAACUAUUUAAUCUCUUUGUGUCUGGGUUUCCUCACCCAUACAAUGGGGAUAAGUCACUACCUCACGGGUUUUGUUGGAAGGUUGAACCAAAUAAACA
rnacentral:lncRNA from 1 species